rnacentral:rRNA from 1 species
UACGUAGGGUGCAAGCGUUAAUCGGAAUUACUGGGCGUAAAGCGCACGCAGGUGGCUGAGUCAGUCGAUUGUGAAAGCCCUGGGCUUAACCUGGGAAUUGCAGUCGAUACUACUCAGCUAGAGUAUGGGAGAGGGUAGUGGAAUUCCCGGUGUAGUGGUGGAAUGCGUAGAUAUCGGGAGGAAUACCAGUGGCGAAAGCGACACCCUGGCACUGUGCCUGACGCUCAUGUGCGAAGGCGUGGGGAGCGAACGGG